CUUGUCUGUCAGUUUCUCCCUUCACAGAUUUUUUUAAACUUAUACAGCAUAAAGCUUUUCCACCAGGAGGAGCUGCCGAGCCGCAGGCCUUGGGCUUAUCACAGGGUUUCUCUGCCACAAAAUUUAAGGGAAAAUCUGCAUUGCAAAAUCACUUCAGUUUCUUCCGAUCCUCUAACUCACGGGAACCAGCUUCAGGUACAGCAGGUGAUUUACAGGGAGGAAACUGGAAAUGAGAAGGAAGUAGUACAGCUUCUUCAUAUCUUCUAGAGAUGUUUGUUCUCUCACCUCCUUUUACCUUUUUAACUUUUCUUGCUACCUCCUCCCUGUCAAUGCAGUGGAGAACAGCUUGAUAACAAUAUAUGAUGAAAUAAAUCCCUCCUUGUGA